rnacentral:rRNA from 1 species
CAGUCGUACGAGAGUUUUUAACUCAAGUGGCGGACGGGUGAGUAACACGUAAGAAUUUGCCUUUAGGAGGGGGACAACAACUGGAAACGGUUGCUAAUACCCCAUAUGCUUUCGAGUGAAAUGGAUUUAUCCGCCUAAAGAGAAGCUUGCGGCUGAUUAGCUUGUUGGUGAGGUAAUGGCUCACCAAGGCGACGAUCAGUAUCUGGUUUGAGAGGACGAUCAGACACACUGGAACUGAGACACGGUCCAGACUCCUACGGGAGGCAGCAGUGGGGAAUUUUCCGCAAUGGGCGAAAGCCUGACGGAGCAAUACCGCGUGAGGGAUGACGGCCUAUGGGUUGUAAACCUCUUUUUUCAGGGAGGAAUCAAAUGACGUGUACCUGAAGAAUAAGCAUCGGCUAACUCCGUGCCAGCAGCCGCGGUAAGACGGAGGAUGCAAGUGUUAUCCGGAAUCACUGGGCGUAAAGCGUCUGUAGGUGGUCCAAUAAGUCAACUGUUAAAUCUUGAGGCUCAACUUCAAAAUCGCAGUUGAAACUAUUAGACUAGAGUAUAGUAGGGGUAAAGGGAAUUUCCAGUGGAGCGGUGAAAUGCGUAGAGAUUGGAAAGAACACCGAUGGCGAAGCACUUUACUGGGCUAUUACUAACACUCAGAGACGAAAGCUAGGGUAGCAAAUGGGAUUAGAUACCCCAGUAGUCCUAGCCGUAAACAAUGGAUACUAGAUGUUGAACAGAUCGACCUGUGCAGUAUCAAAGCUAACGCG